GCGCCGGUUAUUGACAUAUGG
rnacentral:siRNA from 1 species